GACGAACGCUGGCGGCGUGCUUAACACAUGCAAGUCGAACGGAAAGGCCCUGCUUUUGUGGGGUGCUCGAGUGGCGAACGGGUGAGUAACACGUGAGUAACCUGCCCUUGACUUUGGGAUAACUUCAGGAAACUGGGGCUAAUACCGGAUAGGAUCUCCUGCUGCAUGGUGGGGGUUGGAAAGUUUCGGCUGUUGGGGAUGGACUCGCGGCUUAUCAGUUUGUUGGUGGGGUAGUGGCUUACCAAGGCUUUGACUGGUAGCCGGCCUGAGAGAGUGACCGGCCACAAUGGGACUGAGAGAAGCCGCAGUCGCCUGCGGGAGGCAGCAGUGGAAAAUAUUGCACAGCGGGCGGAAGCCAGAUGCAGCGACGCCGCGUGCGGGAAGACGUCCUUCGGGUUGUAAACCGCUUUCGCCUAUGACGAAGCGUGAGUGACGGUAAUGGAUAAAGAAGCACCGGCUAACUACGUG
rnacentral:rRNA from 1 species